GAUGAACGCUAGCGGCAGGCCUAGUACAUGCAAGUCGAACGGUAAGGCCCUUUCGGGGGUACACGAGUGGCGGACGGGUGCGUAACGCGUAUGCAACAUGCCUUCCAGCGGGGGAUAUACCAGGGAAACUUGGCGCAAUACCCCAUAGAAUUACGGGACCGCAUGGUCUUGUGAUUAAAACUCCGGUGCUGGGAGAUUGGCAUGCGUGACAUUAGCUAGUUGGCGGGGUAACGGCCCACCAAGGCGACGAUGUCUAGCUGGUCUGAGAGGAUGAUCAGCCACACUGGGACUGAGACACGGCCCAGACUCCUACGGGAGGCAGCAGUGGGGAAUCUUGCGCAAUGGGGGCAACCCUGACGCAGCCAUGCCGCGUGAACGAUGAAGGCCUUAGGGUUGUAAAGUUCUUUUACCCGUGACGAUGAUGACGGUAACGGGGGAAUAAGCUCCGGCUAACUUCGUG
rnacentral:rRNA from 1 species